GACGAACGCUGGCGGCGUGCUUAACACAUGCAAGUCGAACGGAAAGGCCCUGCUUUUGUGGGGUGCUCGAGUGGCGAACGGGUGAGUAACACGUGAGUAACCUGCCCUUGACUUUGGGAUAACUUCAGGAAACUGGGGCUAAUACCGGAUAGGAGCUCCUGCUGCAUGGUGGGGGUUGGAAAGUUUCGGCGGUUGGGGAUGGACUCGCGGCUUAUCAGCUUGUUGGUGGGGUAGUGGCUUACCAAGGCUUUGACGGGUAGCCGGCCUGAGAGGGUGACCGGCCACAUUGGGACUGAGAUACGGCCCAGACUCCUACGGGAGGCAGCAGUGGGGAAUAUUGCACAAUGGGCGGAAGCCUGAUGUAGCAACGCCGCGUGCGGGAUGACGGCCUUCGGGUUGAAAACCGCUUUCGCCUGUGACGAAGCGUGAGUGACGGUAAUGGGUAAAGAAGCACCGGCUAACUACGUG
rnacentral:rRNA from 1 species